rnacentral:tRNA from 1 species
GAAAGUAGUUUAAGUUAGAACGCCGGCUUUGGGUGUUGGUGGCAGAGUUAGAUACUUUCUUUCUGAUU